rfam:Pseudomonas fluorescens Pf-5, complete genome.
GUAACGGUCACCGCAAGGUUUCUGGUGCUGACACCAGACAGACUUCCGCGGCUCGCUUGUCGAGCCGCACCCGGCAAAGCCGGAUUUGCUAACCCGCCGGUAUCGACACCGGC